UACGUAGGUGGCAAGCGUUGUCCGGAUUUACUGGGCGUAAAGAGCGCGCAGGCGGCUGGCCAAGUCCGAUGUGAAAGCUCCCGGCUUAACUGGGAAACUGCAUCGGAAACUGGUCGGCUUGAAGGUGGGAGAGGGUAGCGGAAUUCCCGGUGUAGUGGUGAAAUGCGUAGAUAUCGGGAGGAACACCAGUGGCGAAGGCGGCUACCUGGCCCAUUCUUGACGCUGAGGCGCGAAAGCUAGGGGAGCGAAACGGG
rnacentral:rRNA from 1 species